AUACGUAGGUGGCGAGCGUUGUCCGGAAUUACUGGGCGUAAAGGAUGCGUAGGUGGAUAUUUAAGUGGGAUGUGAAAUCCCCGGGCUCAACCCGGGAACUGCAUUCCAAACUGGGUAUCUAGAGUGCAGGAGAGGAAAGCGGAAUUCCUAGUGUAGCGGUGAAAUGCGUAGAUAUUAGGAGGAACACCAGUGGCGAAGGCGGCUUUCUGUACUGUAACUGACACUGAGGCAUGAAAGCGUGGGUAGCAAACAGGAUUAGAUACCCUGGUAGUCCACGCCGUAAACGAUGGGUACUAGGUGUAGGAGGUAUCGACCCCUUCUGUGCCGUCGUUAACACAAUAAGUACCCCGCCUGGGGAGUACGGUCGCAAGACUAAAACUCAAAGGAAUUGACGGGG
rnacentral:rRNA from 1 species